rnacentral:rRNA from 1 species
CACGUAGGGCGCAAGCGUUGUCCGGAAUUAUUGGGCGUAAAGAGCUCGUAGGCGGUCUGUUGCGUCCGCUGUGAAAACUCGGGGCUUAACCCCGAGCCUGCAGUGGAUACGGGCAGACUAGAGGUAGGUAGGGGAGAAUGGAAUUCCCGGUGUAGCGGUGAAAUGCGCAGAUAUCGGGAGGAACACCGGUGGCGAAGGCGGUUCUCUGGGCCUGUACUGACGCUGAGACGCGAAAGCGUGGGGAGCGAACAGG